AUGGCAAAGGUUGUUACACUUGGGAGGAGAUACUGGCCGGAAGAGAUCGCCUCCCAUGGGAACAGGUGGAGGCACUUAGGAGAGCAGAGGCAGCCGGAGAUAAGAACCGACGAUACGAGGGAACACGGUUGGCAAGGAAACCCGAAAAGCAGCCCCAAAAAUGUAUUGGGCGGGGGGCUCAGGGAGAGUGUGGCAGAGUCAGGAGUCAGACCUGAGCCAACUCUCCCUGUUUAUCGUGAGGAGCCAAGGAGGAGACCAGAACCAGAGCCGGUGUUGGAGGUGAGCGAAACAGAGACUGUGAAGGAGUUAAUGGGGAAAUUGGAGGAGAGAGAAAUGAGGGAGUUGCUGUGUUGGUGCUUUUUGCAUGGAAUUCGCCCGACGGAACGUGUUGGGGAUUUGAUGGCACCUGGGUUAGCGCUCCAUACUCGUCCUGAGGUGCGUGUUAGUCGGCUGGUGAAGUUGGUGCCAGCCUCACGCACCAGGCCUCCUGUGCACAUCCCUAGCCUUGCACGUCCUGUGCCAGCACUGCUCUCAAGAUCUCCAGUACGCCUUCACGGUCUAGCCCAUCCUGUGCCACCUCCACACUCCAGUCCUCCGGUAGCAGCUCCCCGCACCAGGCUUCCUGUGCGUGUCCUCGGUUCAGUACCACCAGUUCCAGCACCACGCACCAGGCCUUCAGUGCGCCUCGCCUGUUCAGCACAGCCAGCGCUUUCCUCCUCUCCUGCGCUGCUGGAGUCUCCCGCCUGUUUAGCGCAGCCAGAGCCUUUCUCCUCUCCUGCGCUGCCGGAGCCUCCCGCCUGUUCAGCGCAGCCAGCGCUUUCCUCCUCUCCUGCGCUGCUGGAGUCUCCCGCCUAUUUAGCGCAGCCAGAGCCUUUCUCCUCUCCUGCGCUGCCGGAGCCUCCCGCCUGUUUAGCGCAGCCAGAGCCUUCCUCCUCUACAGCGCUGCCGGAGUCUCCCGCCUGUUCAGCGCAGCCAGAGCUGUCAGCCUGCAUGGAGCAGCCAGAGCUGUCAGCCUGCAUGGAGCAGCCAGAGCUGUCAGCCUGCAUGGAGCAGCCAGAGCUGUCAGCCUGCAUGGAGCAACCAGAGCUGUCAGCCUGCAUGGAGCAGCCAGAGCUGUCAGCCUGCAUGGAGCAGCCAGAGCUGUCAGUCUGCAUAGAGCUGCCAGUCUGCAUGGAGCAGCCAGAGCUGCCAGUUUGCAUGGAGCAGCCAGAGCUGUCAGUCUGCAUAGAGCUGCCAGUCUGCAUGGAGCAGCCAGAGCUGCCAGUUUGCAUGGAGCAACCAGAUCUGCCAGUCAACCAGAUUCUUCCAGAUCUGCCAGUCAACCAGAUUCUUCCAGAUCUGCCAGUCAGCCAUGAUCUUCCAGAUCUGCCAGUCAACCAGAUUCUUCCAGAUCUGCCAGUCAACUAG
rnacentral:lncRNA from 1 species